AGCUUUGCGCAGCGGCAGUAUCAUAGCCAAUGAGGUUUAUCCGAGGUGCAAUUAUUGCUAAUUAAAAAAAAAAAAAGAAAGAAAC
ensembl:snRNA U4 U4 spliceosomal RNA